rnacentral:rRNA from 1 species
CCUACGGGAGGCAGCAGUGGGGGAUAUUGCACAAUGGGGGGAACCCUGAUGCAGCGACGCCGCGUGGGUGAAGAAGCGCCUCGGCGCUUAAAGCCCUGUCAGCCGGGAAGAAAAUGACGGUACCUGAAGAAGUAGCCCCUGCUAACUACGUGCCAGCAGCCGCGGGAAUACGCAGGGGGCAAGCGUUAUCCGGAUUUACUGGGUGUACGGGUGGCGCAGACGGCGAUGCAAGCCAGGAGUGAAAGCCCGGGGCUCAACCCCGGGACUGCACUUGGAACUGCGUUGCUGGAGUGCAGGAGGGGCAGGCGGAAUUCCUGGUGUAGCGGUGAAAUGCGUAGAUAUCAGGAGGAACACCGGUGGCGAAGGCGGCCUGCUGGACUGCAACUGACGUUGAGGCCCGAAAGCGUGGGGAGCAAACAGGAUUAGAUACCCUUGUAGUC